GUCCCUAACUCCCCCCCAGUACUUCCGUGUUUGCGUGUCCUGCGUGUCUUGCUUCUCCUGCAGGCUCAAGAGUGUCUUGUGGCUGCUAAUUUGAGAUAAAUAAUCAUGUCUCUGGAGGUGGAAUCCGCAGACGUGAUCCGUCUGAUUAUGCAGUACUUAAAAGAAAAUAAUCUCCAGCGGACUCUAGUCACUCUGCAGGAGGAGACCACCGUGUCUCUGAACACUGUGGACAGUAUCGAGAGCUUUGUGGCAGACAUAAACAGCGGCCACUGGGACACUGUCCUGCAAGCCAUCCAGUCCCUCAAGCUGCCAGAUAAGACCCUGAUAGACCUUUAUGAACAGGUGGUGUUAGAGCUGAUCGAGUUGAGAGAGUUGGGUGCAGCCCGUUCCCUCCUCAGGCAGACUGACCCCAUGAUCAUGCUGAAACAGACCCAGCCAGAGAGAUACAUCCACCUGGAGAACCUGUUGGCUCGCUCUUACUUUGAUCCCAGAGAGGCGUACCCAGAUGGCAGCAGUAAGGAAAAGCGCAGAGCGGCCAUCGCCCAGGCCCUGGCAGGGGAGGUCAGCGUAGUGCCGCCCUCUCGUCUCAUGGCUCUACUGGGACAGUCUCUGAAGUGGCAGCAGCAUCAGGGCCUCCUGCCUCCUGGCAUGACUAUCGAUUUGUUCAGGGGUAAAGCUGCCGUUAAAGAUGUUGAGGAGGAGCGCUUCCCCACCCAGCUCAGCAGGCAGAUCAAGUUCGGACAGAAAUCUCAUGUGGAGUGUUCACGGUUCUCCCCUGAUGGUCAGUAUCUGGUCACUGGCUCUGUGGACGGCUUCAUCGAGGUCUGGAAUUUCACCACCGGCAAAAUCAGAAAGGAUCUGAAGUACCAGGCUCAGGAUAACCUCAUGAUGAUGGACGAUGCUGUGUUGUGUAUGGGCUUCAGUCGGGACACAGAGAUGUUGGCCACCGGAGCCCAGGAUGGGAAGAUUAAGGUGUGGAAGAUCCAGAGCGGUCAGUGUCUGAGGAGGUUUGAGCGCGCCCACAGUAAAGGAGUAACAUGCGUCAGUUUCUGUAAAGACAGCAGCCAGAUCCUCAGCGCCUCUUUCGACCAGAUAAUCAGAAUCCAUGGACUGAAGUCAGGUAAAACUCUUAAGGAAUUCCGCGGCCACACCUCAUUUGUGAACGAGGCCACCUUCACUCCAGACGGUCACCACAUCAUCAGCGCUUCCUCGGACGGCACAGUCAAGAUGUGGAACAUAAAGACCACCGAGUGCUCCAACACCUUCAAGCCUCUGGGCACGUCAGCCGGCACCGACAUCACGGUCAACAACGUCAUCCAGCUGCCCAAGAACCCGGAGCAUUUUGUCGUGUGUAACCGCUCCAACACGGUGGUCAUCAUGAACAUGCAGGGACAGAUCGUGAGGAGUUUCAGCUCCGGUAAGAGGGAAGGAGGUGACUUUGUGUGCUGCACUCUGUCGCCCCGCGGCGAGUGGAUCUACUGCGUGGGUGAAGACUUUGUGCUCUACUGCUUCAGCACCGUCACCGGCAAGCUGGAGAGAACGCUGACGGUACACGAGAAGGAUGUGAUCGGCAUCGCCCACCACCCCCAUCAGAACCUCAUCGCCUCCUACAGCGAGGACGGUCUGCUCAAGCUCUGGAAGCCUUGAGGUGUUUGAUUUCCAAACUGAGACUGGCCGUUUAUCACCCAGCAGCUGCUCACCUCACUCCUGGACACUGCUCUGCCCGUUCCGUUUGGUCUUUGUCUUUUCACAGCACUGGGUGAAUCUCUCUAUUUCAGGUCACUGUGAACUUGAAGUUUUGGUAUACAUGUUGACAAUCUCAGUGACACCAUAGGUUUGACCUAUUCAGCUGCAUGUUUCCAUUAGCACGGGUGCUCUUCUUUUACCAUGAAGCCAUACAGCUGAAUAUUAGCAACUAAUGGUGUUUUUGGGGGUUUUCGAGUGUUUGCACAGCAGAGCCUUGUUCAACUGAAUCUGUCCAUCACAGAAAGGAUUUAAUGAUAUCUUACAAAGAAACAUCAUUUGCUUUACUUUAAUGCAUUUUUUUUGAAUUGGUGAGGGUACGUGUCAUGUUGUUUAAGUGGUGGAUUUUGGAAAGAAACUCUUCAAAAUGUGACCCACACACAUGAUUAUUACAAAUACUCGUAACCGUUCAUUACACACAUUAAGAAAGGUGCUUCCAUGUUUAUCCAGAUUUAAAAAUAAAUAAAAAUGUCAUUCAUUCAUUCAUGAUAUAGUUUCAGUUGCAGGUAAAAUAAAAAAGGUUCUGCUGUUCAACACCUGAGCUCUACAGACAUGCAGUAACUUCUUUUUUGGAGGCUUCAAAUUCAGAGAUGGGGGGGGGGGUUGUCAGAUGUCUGGGGUGAGGAGUGUAGCUACUAGACUCAGUUUUGUUUUUAAAAUUUUUCACUCUUUUGUAAAUAUGUUUUUUUUUUAUUUGCAUUUCUGUUUAGUUUUUUCCAAGAAGACCUGGUUAAGUAGUGUUUUGUUGUCUUUUUUUUCUUUUGAAUUUCUAACUAGAAUUGAAUGGCAUCACUGUAAAAUUCUUCUAGAUAAAUAUUUUUUUCUGAAAUUUAGUUCUACAUGGAGAACCACAUAAUCCAUUAAAUGUAAUAACAAAGUCAUUGUAAGGCAUUUUGUUCCCACACUGUACAUACAUUUGGAAUGAGACUUAAUAUUUCAAGUUUCUAUAACUUGCUGGAUGUAUGUAUUUCCCGUUAUUAUAUCUCGUCUGUGCCAUUAAAGCUAUUUAACCAGAACAGAAGAAAGCACCUUUUACAUUGUGUUGACCUGUGGUGUUGGAGAACCGGAAUAUUAUCCAAUCAGAGAAUAUGAAAAGAUUUUCUUCAUUACAAAACAACGUUUUAUGGGACUUUAGACUU